CGUAGAAAUGUCUUCUUCUUCUUCUUCUUCUUCUUCUUCUUCUUCUUCUUCUUCUUCUUCUCCGCUUCUUCUUCAACUUCUCUUCCUCUACUUCUCCUCUUCUUCUAUUUUUCCUCUUCUUCUCCUCUCCUCCUCUUCUUAUUCUCCUUUUUCUUCUUUUCUUAUCCUCCUCUUCUUAUUUUCCUUUUUCCUAAUCUUAUUUUCUUAUUUUUGUUCAUCUUUCUUCUUCUUGUAACCCUAACCUAAUUCUAAAUAUUACUAACCCUAAUAAUCUAGCACAAACCUAAUAACUAUAGGAAUUAAAUGACAAAAAAAAUCUUUUCUUCUUUUCUUCUCCUUUUUCUUCUUUUCUUCUCCUUUUUCUUCCUUUCUUCUCCUUUUUCUUCCUUUCUUCUCCUUUUUAUUCCUUUCUUCCCUUUUUCUUCCUUUCUUC
rnacentral:lncRNA from 1 species